rnacentral:rRNA from 1 species
AACUGGAGGAAGGAACGGGCAACGGUAGGUCAGUAUGCCCCGAAUGAGCUGGGCUACACGCGGGCUACAAUGGUCGAGACAAUGGGAAGCCACCUCGAGAGAGGGCGCUAAUCUCCGAAACUCGAUCGUAAUUCGGAUUGCGGGCUGAAACUCGCCCGCAUGAAGCUGGAUUCGGUAGUAAUCGCACCUCAGAAGGGUGCGGUGAAUACCUCCCUGCUCCUUGCACAACGGGCUAACUCACGCAACUACUUUCCCAUCUUGUUUACUCCCUCAACUACUCACUCAACUCUUUUCCUUUCUUCUUUUUUCU